ACAAAGCACGAAUUUUUAGAUUGUAGGAAGAUGCAAGGUGAAGAUAGCGACCUCUUUAGUUGUGUCAAAACUGAACAAUAGGGAAAAUCCAACAACUUUUGCUGGGAAGUAUAAGAGCGUCUUAUAUCAGAAGGUGUCAGUACCAGUAAUACAGCUCCUCGUAUUAGUUCCAGUAAUCGCAUACUAUGUAAUAUAAUGGUUGAAUUGGUCAAGGUUGAGGUUGCGAGAGUUGUAGUCUACGGAGUCUAUGAUCUUUACGCAGAGUCAUGUCACUGGGACUACCACAAUGGUUGCUUUUUCUUCUCUCCCCCCCCGUCUGGUUUGGAAGUUACCCUACUAAUUAGGCUGGUCUGCCACCAUGUGGUUUUCUCACAGACAAGCGAAACGGAGAUGACAUUAAAGGAACAGCAUCUUAAAGCUUACGAACGAUAAAGAAAUUCCCUCCUCACACCCUUCUAUUCAGGAGCCUCUCACUCUCUCGUCAAGCAAGACCAAAGACCAGCUGAUGAUGUGUCUAAAAUGGGUGAUGAAAAGUUAGCCUUUUUUUCUGCUUACGAACUUGUAUCCACACCUGUUACCUUAGAUACAGAAUAACUGUAACUUUCAUCUAAGUGUUUUCUUACAGAAAAACGUAAUGCCGGAGGUUACAUUAUAUUAUAAACAAAACUUCUUUUAUCGAGUUUCGAAACACAUGAAUUUGAUUUAACAGGCAAACUAACCCUUCCUGUUCAUCAAUUUUCUGUUAAUAAAAACAUUUUCCUCUAAUAAGGAAAAAUUACUGACCAUAUUCCUAGCGAGAAUCAUAUUCGACAUUGCAUGAUCUAUGAGUUUCAUAUAGAUAACAAACCAAUGGAGGCAAUCAAAAACAUUUGUUGGGUUUAUAAGGAUGCGUUUAGUGUCCACAAAUGCCAGUGGUACUUCAGAAAAGUUUAGUCAGGUGAUUUUGAUCUCUCAGACUACCAUCGUUCAGGGAGGCCAGUAGAAUUGGACAUUGACCUCCUGAGGUCAAAGGUUGAGUCAGACCGCCAUCAGUCCAUCCAACAAUUGUCAGAACACUUAAUUCUUCUUGGUCUAGCGUUCAAGAACAUCUUAAACAGAUCGGGAAGAUCAAUAGACACGGAGUUUGGGUUCCACACAAUCUGUCAGAAGACAACAAAGCAGAGUGCAUAAAAAUUUGGAAUUCAUUAAUAACCAGAUAUGAGAAAGAACCAUUUCAUCGUCGAAUUUUUAUAGUGCAAGAAUCAGUGUCUUAGCUCUAUCCUGAACCCUAUUCAAACAGCCAAACCAAGUCUACACCUGCAGAAAGUCUUGUUGUCUGUUUGGUAUGACAGAGUCCGCAUAAUUCACUUUGAGUUAUUGAAAUCGAAUCAGACUAUAACUGCAGACCUUUAUUGUCAAGAAUUGGACCGUUUGCACCAGGUUGUCAUUGAAAAACGUCCAGCACUAAAAAAGCGAGACCACAUUCUGCAAGAAUGACUCAGAACAAGAUCAGAGAUUUGGAUUAGGAAGUCCUGCCUCACACUUCACACUCUCCUGACAUUGUCCCUUCAGAUUACCAUUUAUUCAGAUCUAUGCAGCACUUUAUCGGCGGUAAAACAUUCAGAAAUAUUGAUGGCAUCAAACUUCUCUCGCAGAAUUCUUUGUCUCAAAGAAAACUUCCUUCUAUCAACGAGGAACUGAAAGCUUGAUUGAAAGAUGGCACAUUGUCAUUAAUAAUAAUGUGGAUUGUGUAACUGAUUGAAAAAUAAAUACUUACCUUUAAAAAGAUCUUUUACUGCAUAAGAAAAAAUAACGACAUUACUUUCUGGUACUUGUAAUACAUACACAACGUCUGACUCGCACAGAAUUACGUUACAAAAUUUGCCAUAAAUAUCGCUUUUGUUUUUUGAAUUUCGCGCAAAGCUACACGAGGGCUAUCUGCGCUAGCCGUCCCUAAUUUAGCAGUGUU